rnacentral:lncRNA from 1 species
UUCUAUAUCACUGUUACUGCUCCCACUGGAAGGCUAUUCCAGGUAUCUACUACCCUUUCUAUAUCACUGUUACUGCUCCCACUGGAAGGCUAUUCCAGGUAUCUACUACCCUUUCUAUAUCACUGUUACCGCUCCCACUGGGAGGCUAUUCCAGGUAUCUACUACCCUUUCUAUAUCUGUUACUGCUUGGAAGGCUGCUACCCAUAUCACUGUUACUGCUCCCACUGGAAGGCUAUUCCAGGUAUCUAUUACCCUUUCUAUAUCACUGUUACUGCUCCCACUGGAAGGCUAUUCCAGGUAUCUACUACCCUUUCUAUAUCACUGUUACCGCUCCCACUGGAAGGCUAUCCCUGGUAUCUACUACCCUUUCUAUAUCACUGUUACCGCUCCCACUGGAAAGCUAUUCCAGGUAUCUACUACCCUUUCUAUAUCACUGUUACCGCUCCCACUGGAAGGCUAUUCCAGGUAUCUACUACCCUUUCUAUAUCACUGUUACCGCUCCCACUGGAAGGCUAUCCCAGGUAUCUACUACCCUUUCUAUAUCACUGUUACCGCUCCCACUGGAAGGCUAUUCCAGGUAUCUACUACCCUUUCUAUAUCACUGUUACUGCUCCUACUCAUAGGCGUGUGCCUAGGCACCCUCUAAUCCCUGUGGCAUGCCUAUGGAUUGAGACCGGCAGGGGAGAUCUCAGAAUGUCCCCUGUCGGCUCAUGCAGAGCCGGCACUAUCCAAGCACCGGCUCUGCUCUAAGCCUUCAUGGGCCGGUGGGGAGAUCAAAGAUCUACUUCACCGGCCCACAGCAGCAUGGAGGGAGGCAGGAGAGGACCCAGGGAGCUCUAGCCAGCAGCUCCGCCAGGUUCCUCUUGCGAGAGCUGAGCGUUGCCGUGGCAACGCUCCAAUCUCGCGAGAGUGAACUCUAGCCCCACAGGCUAGAUUUCACUUUCCACGGGACCACCAGGGAUGGCACAGGGCAGCAAGGAUCCCCCCUCCCUACAUAAGGUAAUAAGGGAGGGGGGAUAUUUACUAAUCUGCCCCCACCUUCACCCCCAUAAUCCCUCCAAACAUACAGUGUACACACACACAUACAGCACACAAACAGAACCUACAGACCUACAGCACCCUCACACACACAGCACACAAACACCCUCACCCACAUAGCACACAAACAGCACCCUCACACACAUAGCACACAAACAUCACCCACACACCGCAUACUAACAGGACCCUAACAAACACACACACAAAUACCCUCACACACAGCACACUCACAGCACGCUCACAAACACCCUCACCCACAUAGCACACUACAAGAACCCUCACACACACAUCACACACCCUCACACAGCACACUAACAGCGCGCACACACACACACACACACACACACACAACAGUGUAUGUAUGUGUGUGUGUGUGUGUGUGUAUGUUUUUUUUAUAUAUACAUACAUACACGCGGCGUGUGUUAGUGCUUUAGGGGGCACACCCUAAUGCAAUAGGCUGCGCACGCCUAUGCUCCUACUGGUAGGCUAUUCCAGGUAUCUACUACCAUUUAAAUAUCACCAGUAGUCUUUAUUGCUUCCACUGGAAGGCGUAUCUACUACUCUUUCAGUAUAGUGAAAUUUCUGUUGUAGAUCAGCUUUAUGGGUGAAAUUAUACAGAUCCUUUCAAAUAAUGGUAUUUGCCCCAUCUCUAUCAGCCUAUGAUUGCCUUCCAAAUUCAGACAGGCUCAUGUGAUGUCCAAAUUUAGCCUUGGAUCACAAUUUCUUUACACACACCAGGGGUACAACAUUCACAAAGUCCUUACACCAUAACCACUAAGCUAUAAUUCUGUUUCUGCCUUUCCCAGAAUAUUAUGUCAUUCUCGCCCCCACUAGGUUAGUGGAACUCUUUCUAUAGAAAUUAUCUGAAACUGAUGGGAACCUCAUUCUCCAGAACUGGACACAUCAUGUCAGAAUUAAUGUUACAUAAAUCAUAAUAAAUGUUUGUGCUGACUGCUCACAGUGUGAUAUUUAAUGGGGGGUGGGGGGAUUCCAAAUCUUAAAGCGAUCUGGGUCAUAAACUGCGUGACAUUGAUUUUUCUUCCAUAUUUUUGUGUUUCUAUUUCUUUAUUGUGUUUUCCAUUGAAAUGACUUAAAAAUACAAAGUCUGUGUUUCUAAUAAAAAUAAAUGUGUCCACCUAACGAGCCAAUGCCAGGUAAGAAUUCAUUCCCUUGAAAUGGAGCCUCGCUGGUUCUGAAUACGCCAUAAGUUCUCGCUGGUUCUAAACACACCAUGAGUUCUCGCUGGUUCUGAAUACCCCAUAAGUUCUUGCUGGUUCUGAAUACGCCAUAAGUUAUUGCUGGUUGUGAAUUACGCCAUAAGUUCUCGCUGGUUUUGAAUUACGCCAUAAGUUCUCGCUGGUUUUGAAUUACGCCAUAAGUUCUCACUGGUUAUGAAUUACGCCAUAAGUUCUCGCUGGUUGUGAAUUACGCCAUAAGUUCUCGCUGGUUUUGAAUUACGCCAUAAGUUCUCGCUGGUUUUUAAUUACGCCAUAAGUUCUCGCUGGUUGUGAAUUACGCCAUAAGUUCUCGCUGGUUGUGAAUUACGCCAUAAGUUCUCGCUGGUUGUGAAUUACGCCAUAAGUUCUCGCUGGUUUUGAAUUACGCCAUAAGUUCUCGCUGGUAGUGAAUUAUGUCAUAAGUUCUCGCUGGUAGUGAAUUACGCCAUAAGUUCUCGCUGGUAGUGAAUUACGCCAUAAGUUCUCGCUGGUAGUGAAUUACGCCAUAAGUUCUCGCUGGUUUUGAAUUACGCCAUAAGUUCUCGCUGGUUGUGAAUUACGCCAUAAGUUCUCGCUGGUUUUGAAUUACGCCAUAAGUUCUUGCUGGUUGUGAAUUACGCCAUAAGUUCUCGCUGGUUUUUAAUUACGCCAUAAGUUCUCGCUGGUUUUGAAUUACGCCAUAAGUUCUCGCUGGUUGUGAAUUACGCCAUAAGUUCUUGCUGGUUUUGAAUUACGCCAUAAGUUCUUGCUGGUUUUGAAUUACGCCAUAAGUUCUCGCUGGUUUUUAAUUACGCCAUAAGUUCUCGCUGGUUUUGAAUUACGCCAUAAGUUCUCGCUGGUUGUGAAUUACGCCAUAAGUUCUCGCUGGUUGUGAAUUACGCCAUAAGUUCUCGCUGGUUGUGAAUUACGCCAUAAGUUCUUGCUGGUUGUGAAUUAAGCCAUAAGUUCUCGCUGGUUUUGAAUUACGCCAUAAGUUCUUGCUGGUUGUGAAUUACGCCAUAAGUUCUUGCUGGUUAUGAAUUACGCCAUAAGUUCUUGCUGGUUAUGAAUUACGCCAUAAGUUCUCGCUGGUAGUGAAUUACGUCAUAAGUUCUCGCUGGUUCUAAACACACCAUAAGUUCUCGGUUCUGGCUGGUUCUAAACACACCAUAAGUUUUCGCUGGUUCUAAACACAACAUAAGUUCACGCUGGUUCUGAAUAACGUUCUCACUGGUUUGCUGGUUAUGAAUACGCCAUAAGUUCUCGCUGGUUCUGAAUACGCCAUAAAUUCUUGCUGGUUCUGAUCACACCAUAAGUUUUCGCUGGUUCUAAACACAACAUAAGUUUUCGCUGGUUCUAAACACAACAUAAGUUCACGCUGGUUCUGAAUAACGUUCUCACUGGUUUGCUGGUUAUGAAUACGCCAUAAGUUCUCACUGGUUCUAAACACACCAUAAGUUCUCGCUGGUUCUGAAUACGCCAUAAAUUCUUGCUGGUUCUGAUCACACCAUAAGUUGUGUGUUAAAUUCACCUCCCCAGGCACAACGAGGGGAACGCUUAACUCUUCAGACAAAGGCUUGCAGGGGAAUCGGAGUUCACUUGGCGACGAUUUCUGACGGGACACAAUGAAUUUACUGUAAUGGGAUUCCCACAAGCCGGCAUUGUUUGAAGAAAAAAAAAAAAAUUAAGUUUCAAGACCUAUUUAGUUUUAAGAAAAGGACUUUGUGGAGUGGAGCGAGGUUUUGGGGUCAAUGCUGACUCAGCGAGGAGGACCAAGCUGAUUCAUUGCCCCUUUUAUAUUGUUCACUGAAAUUCUCUCCCCUCCUGUACAUUAUUCACAGAGGAACUCUCUGCCAGACUCAGCAAGACAGCCCUUACUGAUUUAACUAAGUAAACUUUCCUUUAAACUACUAACCAACGUAUAAUGUAAGAUCUUACUGGGGAUCUAUAAAGAAUUAUCGCUAUCUCUCUAUGUCCUCCUGGGAUCUGCUCUAUAGAACUGAACACAAUACUCUAGGAGAGAUCUUACCAUGGAUCUAUAAAGUACUAUCACUACCUCUCUAUGUCCUCCUGGGAUCUGCUCUAUAGAACUGAGCACAAUACUCUAGGUGAGAUCUUACCGGGAUCUAUAAAGUGCUAUCACUACCUCUCUAUAUCCUCCUGGGAUCUGCUCUAUAGAACUGAACACAAUACUCUAGGUGAGAUCUUACCGGGGAUCUAUAAAGUACUAUCACUACCUCUCUAUGUCCUGGGAUCUGCUCUAUAGAACUGAACACAAUACUCUAGGUGAGAUCUUACCGGGGAUCUAUAAAGUACUAUCACUACCUCUCUGUGUCCUCCUGGGAUCUGCUCUAUAGAACUGAACACAAUACUCUAGGUGAGAUCUUACCGGGAUCUAUAAAGUGCUAUCACUACCUCUCUAUAUCCUCCUGGGAUCUGCUCUAUAGAACUGAACACAAUACUCUAGGUGAGAUCUUACCAGGGAUCUAUAAAGUACUAUCACUAUCUCUCUAUGUCCUCCUGGGAUCUGCUCUAUUGAACUGAACACAAUACUCUAGGUGAGAUCUUACCGGGGAUCUAUAGAGUACUAUCACUACCUCUCUAUGUUCUGGGAUCUGCUCUAUAGAACUGAACACAAUACUCUAGGUGAGAUCUUACCGGGGAUCUAUAAAGUACUAUCACUACCUCUCUAUGUCCUCCUGGGAUCUGCUCUAUAGAACUGAACACAAUACUCUAGGUGUGGUCUUACUAUGGAUCUAUAAAGUACUAUCACACCUCUCUAUGUCCUCCUGGGAUCUGCUCUAUAGAACUGAACACAAUACUCUAGGUGAGAUCUUACCGGGGAUCUAUAAAGUACUAUCACACCUCUCUAUGUCCUCCUGGGAUCUGCUCUAUAGAACUGAACACAAUACUCUAGGUGAGAUCUUACCGGGAUCUAUGAAGUACUAUCACACCUCUCUAUGUCCUCCUGGGAUCUGCUCUACAGAACUGAACACAAUACUCUAGGUGAGAUCUUACCAGGGAUCUAUGAAGUACUAUCACUACCUCUCUAUGUCCUCCUGGGAUCUGCUCUAUAGAACUGAACACAAUACUCUAGGUGAGAUCUUACUGGGGAUCUAUAAAGUGCUAUCACUACCUCUCUAUGUCCUCCUGGGAUCUGCUCUAUAGAACUGAACACAAUACUCUAGGUGAGAUCUUACCGGGAUCUAUAAAGUACUAUCACUACCUCUCUAUGUCCUGGGAUCUGCUCUAUAGAACUGAACACAAUACUCUAGGUGAGAUCUUACCGGGGAUCUAUAAAGUACUAUCACUACCUCUCUAUGUCCACCUGGGAUCUGCUCUAUAGAAUUGAACACAAUACUCUAGGUGAGAUCUUACCGGGGAUCUAUAAAGUGCUAUCACUACCUCUCUAUGUCCUCCUGGAAUCUGCUCUACAGAACUGAACACAGUACUCAUAGUGCAGCCAGGGGGCGCUGUGAUUGUGCUCAUAACAAGCUCUUUAAAUCUGUUUUAUUUAACUUGCCAUGACAUGUUUAUUCCCUAAGAAGAGGACCCAGUCUCCAUUAGCCAUUGGACUAUCAGGGUUUGAGCGAUGCUAUUGCAAUGAACAGGUUAAAUGAGCUCGGCAGCAGCCAAUUCAACCCUCCUCCCUGCCAUUUAAAGCAGCGGCUAUUACCACAAACACCAAGGAGGUGAGUCACUCCAUACACACCCAGCCAUGAGCACAGCCUGGCCUUAGCAUGAUCUCUGGUUUCUCCUGUCUCAGCUGCUGCAUUCCUCCUGGAAUAUCGUUUAACCCUCCAUUGACUCCUUGAGGUUAAUAAGCAGAGAGAGAGUGAGCUCAGCUGUUGACUGGCGCCUGCCAUCAGCGAACCCUCUCUGCGCCUGGAGCAGCCCAAUCUGGCUCUCAAAGGGUUAAACUUGCCGUCAGGGUUAUGCACUAACCUGCAAAUUGUUGAGGAAUCAAAGUGAAUUUUGGAGUUUAGGCUACCAUGCGAAACUGGAAGAGGACUCCAAGUCAGCGACGUUCUCACCUUAAUUGCUAAACUGUGAAUUCAUGUUUAAUUUUGGACAAUUUAUACUUUAGUUAAUAUCCCCGGUAUUAUACACUGCUCAAAAAAAUAAAGGGAACACAAAAAUAACACAUCCUAGAUCUGAAUUAAUGAAAUAUUCUUCUGAAAUACUUUGUUCUUUACAUAGUUGAAUGUGCAGACAAAAAAGUUUUAAAAUGGAAAUUAGAUUUUUCAACCCAUGGAGGUCUGGAUUUGGAGUCACACUCCAAAGUGGAAAAACACACUACAGGCUGAUCCAACUUUGAUGUAAUGUCCUGAAAACAAGUCAAAAUGAGGCUCAGUAGUGUGUGUGGCCUCCACGUGCCUGUAUGACCUCCCUACAAUGCCUGUGCAUGCUCCUGAUGAGGUGGUGGAUGGUCUCCUGAGGGAUCUCCUCACAGACCUGUACUAAAGCAUCUACCAACUCCUGGACAGUCUGUGGUGCAACGUGAUGUUGGUGGAUGGAGCGAGACAUGAUGUCCCAGAUGUGCUCAAUUGGAUUCAGGUCUGGGGAACGGGCGGGCCAGUCCAUAGCAUCAAUGCCUUUGUCUUGCAGGUACUGCUGACACACUCCAGCCACAUGAGGUCUAACAUUGUCUUGCAUUAGGUGGAACCCAGGGCCAACCGCACCAGCAUAUGGUAUCACAAGGGGUCUGAGGAUAUCUCGGUACCUAACGGCAGUCAAGCUACCUCUGGCGAGCACAUGGAGGACUGUGCGGCCCCCCAAAGAAAUGCCACCCCACACCAUUACUGACCCACUGCCAAACCGGUCAUUCUGGAGGAUGUUGCAGGCAGCAGAACGUUCUCCACUGCGUCUCCAGACUGUCACGUCUGUCACAUGUGCUCAGUGUGAACCUGCUUUCAUCUGUGAAGAGCACAGGGCGCCAGUGGCGAAUUUGCCAAUCUUGGUGUUCUCUGGCAAAUGCCAAACGUCCUGCACGGUGUUGGGCUGUAAGCACAAUCCCCACCUGUGGACGUCGGGCCCUCAUACCACCCUCAUGGAGUCUGUUUCUGACCGCUUGAGCAGACACAUGCACAUUUGUGGCCUGCUGGAGGUCAUUUUGCAGGGCUCUGGCAGUGCUCCUCCUGUUCCUCCUUGCACAAAGGCAGAGGUAGCGGUCCUGCUGCUGGGUUAUUGCCCUCCUAUGGCCUCCUUCACGUCUCCUGAUGUAUUGGCCUGUUUCCUGGUAGCGCCUCCAUGCUCUGGACACUACGAUGACAGACACAGCAAACCUUACCAUAUCUCUAAUUGAUGUGCCAUCCUGGAUGAGCUGCACUACCUGAGCCACUUGUGUGGGUUGUAGACUCCGUCUCAUGCUACCACUAGAGUGAAAGCACCGCCAGCAUUCAAAAGUCACCAAAACAUCAGCCAGGAAGCAAAGGAACUGAGAAGUGGUCUGUGGUCACCACCUGCAGAACCAUUCCUUUAUUGUGGGUGUCUUGCUAAUUGCCAAUAAUUUUCACCUGUUGUCUAUCCCAUUUGCAAUGCUGGCACAGACGGGCGACAACCGUUACUAAAUCACAGCUAUAAAAUGCACAUAGCGCGGGUCAGCAGUAUAAUCGGCUAGAAGCCAGCCAUUAAAUAGGAAAGCCGCUCACAAUAGGGAAACAACCAAACCCCACUCGUCUAGGAAAAAUAGAUCAUUUUAUUUCCAUGGGAGAUUAUUACGGCUUUAUGCCCUCGCUGUGCUGGUGAGCUGAAAAUCAAAAUUUGAAAAGAAUUGCUGGGUUGGACAAUUUUCUUCUCCCAGAAUUUGGUGAUUGAUUCACCACAAUUGCGUGUUUGGUGAAUAAUUCCACUGACACAAAUAGAUCAUUUUGUGAAGCUCAGACGCACAGAGUGAUAUCCUGAUAUAGCCAACACAGGGCUGUGGGAGGACUUAUUCAUACGUAUAAACAUAUACAUGGGGAUAAAACAACCACUUUCUAUUCUCUUAUAAAACUUCCCAAAUAUUACUACUACGUUUUUACCUUGCAACAAUUUGUAAUUUACAAACAAAGUGAAUUUUAAAUGUGACGCCAACAUGGCGACCUAAAAGCAAAGCUGAAUUGGAGAAUUUUUCCACAUUGUCUGUUUUGGACUAACAUUUUGAAUUAAUCUUGAUGCCACUUUGAAUUCACAGUGAAUAUUGAUUUUAGGACCAUGAGAUCAGACUGCGGCAGAAUACAUAGUUACAUUGCUACUUAGGAAAAAAAAGAGUCCAACCUUUCAGAGACAUCUCUGUAUGCUGUUUAUAAGAAGAAAGAAAAAAGUAUAAAUAAAUCCCAAUAUAAUGCAUUAGACAAUAUUUCCUCCCCCCCGAAAGAAUAGAAAAUACUUAUUGUCACAAUCAUAGCAAUCAGGGUUCUCCUUGGAUCGAUACGCUCUUCACAUACAUAUUAAUUACUAUCUUUAAUAUUCUGAUUUUCAAAAAAACCAUCCAGGCCAUUUUUUAAAGAAAUAUCUAUAGAAUUUGAUAAGAAAAGCUCUUUCAGUAGCGAAUUCCGCAUGUUUACUGUUCUUACUGUAAAGAACCCUUCCCUCCGAAGUGAUACGAUGAGUCUCAAUACUGAGUGAAAUCAAUGUCACGAUAUGUCACAUUGUAAAAUCAUAUCAUUUGGAUCAAUUCAUAUCAUUCUUAAAGGGACACUGUUUUUUUGUGUAUUGAUGCCUUCUCCUCUCUGUGACAGUGUAAUAGAUUGCUAUCAUUGUCAGUAGAUCCUAAUAACUCUCUCUGAGAAACCUCAGAUUGUCAGAUCAUGGCGGCUGACGCCCAUCUGUCCGGAUCAUCUCAUAAGAGGGGAACAAAUUCUACAGGGAGACUGUCCCGACUCUGGAUUACAGGUAAAUCUAAUGGAUUUUAAAAAAUAUAUAUCAUUUUGUUCUCUAAAAAGAGAUAUGACUUCAUAGGGACACUCUAAGCUCAACAUAAAUAGAUUUAUUUUUAUCCUUCGAGCGUUACUUUCACUAUAAAUUGUUAUUUGAAUCAUAUAUUAUUAUAUCAUACUAUUUAUCCUACAAAUAAGACAGAGUGAUGAGAACAUCGAGUGACAAAUUGCUAAAGUUUAUUAAUCAUUUUGUGAUUUUAAUAAACAGUCACAUCGUAUCUUUUACAGAAUUGGUCCAUAAUUUCCCUUUUUCUACUCAAUGAUUACACCAAUAUCCCAAUUCUCAGCAAUUCCCAGUUUAGUAAAUAACUCUAUGUUUUCAGAUUUCUACACACCUUUUCCUUGAUCAACGCAUGAAACGUUCUCCUUAUUGUGAAAUGUUCUGAUAAAUUGAGAGAAAUGUAAAGUUAUUUCACCCAGCCAGGUUUUAUCUGUGCUGUGAGCAAAGCCGCCACAAUUUAAUUCACUGAUUUAUUUAAUGUCGCUAUUUCCAACUUCAGUAAUUCAAUCCAAAAUAUUUUGCGCAAAUACGUCUAGGAAUUCUGAGAAAGCUGAGAAAUGGUUCGGAGAUUUCUAUAUGAAGCAGUACGGUGAUUAGACAUUCUGUUGGUAAUUAUGGACAACUAAAUAAAAUAACUAAACUGCCAGUGUUCCCCACCUCAAACGUUCACAAUCCCCCUAUAUAACAAAAGAAUUGUCCAUCUUCCCUAUUAAUCCCCUACAUUAGGCCACAUUUUGCCAGAUAUUACAAGUGAUUGUUCUACUAAAGCCCUUAUAGUGUCUGAUGUCAUUUAAAAUCUGAAAACGAUGUCUCUAUUCUCUAGAACUGUGAAUUCGGUUUGACCCAAAUUGUAGUUCGUCUAAAUCUCUUGUGGGGUGGUAAGUGUAAGCCGUCUUGGGAAUUAGAGGGACUCCCUGCUCUGCUGCGUAUAUUUCCUGGAACAUAGAAGAACGCAGCAGAGCAGGGAAUCCCUUAACUCCUCACUUACCGACCAUUUUGUUCUAUGACCGGGUCGGUAAGUGAGGAGUGUCUGUGUAUAUAUAUAUAUAUAUAGCUUUUUUUUUUUCCACUUAUCCUCCUGGUUUCCCUACUUUUCCUCACUUGGUCUGUGAACUAAAUAGUUGGAUAUUGUUCCUAUCAGUGUACUGCACAAUAUAUAAAUAUUAUUUAUAUAUCCACAUUUGAAUUAUACAUCAUGUUUAUAAUUUCUAUAUUAUGUAUUAAUUAUGCAGUGCGAUAAUUGGCCUGUUUUCACCUGAAAUUGUUUUCCAAAUAAUUUUCCUGGAUGAUAUUUGGAUGAGCAGAACCAUCAGCUGAUUAUGUGUCGGGGAUUCCGAACUAAAUUUCAUUUUUAGAAAACUUGUUUUGGUCGAAUCAAAUUUUUCCGCACGGCAUAAAUGUACUAUGAGUACACCCUCGAAUGGUUCACCGAUUUUAAUGACUGGUAAAAACAGGGGGGUACUUAUUUCUCAUUUACAAUUAUUACUAUUAUUUCACCAAUAAUGGAAAGAUAUGGGAAUCAUUCUAACAGGUAAAAUGGUUCUCAGGAGAAAGCGCAACGUCCAGCCGCCUGUUGUCUAUUGUGGUUCCUUAAUGGCGUUUCGCAGGCGCACACGUAAUGAGAUUGUGAUUUUACUGAUGUCAUUUUAAUGUGGAAUGUUUUGCUGUUUUGUGUUUGAUUGAUUAGAGCAGGAGUUUCUGUCCCAGGCUACGUUAACAAGAUUUUAAGCCAAAAGAAUCGAUUUUUCCCAUCUCCCUGUUACUUAACAGAGCUCUUAUCUGUCCGUUCUGUAAGUGAUAUUAAUUUCGUUUUACGAGAUGGCCGCCAGUGAUCCACAAGUUUAUAACAGUCUACGUAGGUAACUAGCACAUGGACGAGUGAAGCACAUCUGUGAUAUUAGGAGAUUUACCCACUAAACAGUGAACUGGGUCAAUAUCUAAACAUUUUAUUCCAUUUCACACACAGCAGUAUUGGCUGACGCUGGCACUUGGCGUGUUCGCAAAUUACAUUCACCCUAAAGCUUAGAUUAUUUAAAUUGCACAUUUUCCCAUAUUUUUAAAUUACGACAUCUUUUAAUUGUGUCAGAGUUCCACUAAAAGUUAAAGUCUGAAAACCCUGAAGGGACUACGACGCUUUAAUUGCAUGAAUGAUGGAGGAAGCUGCAAACAUUUGCUAUUUUAGAGCCGGGACCUUGUUUUCUCUGACAAAAAAAAAACUAAAAAUGUGAUGUCUGUAUUCUCAUUACUAAUUUGUUACGAAAACUCUGCGUAACCAAAAACUGUGAGUAUUUUUUUUUUUUUUAGUUCCCAUGUUUAAUGUUAUUUCUGAAGGAGCGAAAGAUAUAAAAAGUCUUCAGAAAGAAAAAGAUGUGAGAUGUACCAAGAAAGGACCGUCCACGACACAGCAAUAUGCCCCCCCGCACCCCAAUGUUCAUUGUAUAUAAAUAAAGCUUGUUGAAAAACAGGCUGCCAUGUCCCCCUAGUCCCUAUAGAGGGUCCGCUAUGCCCAGCGCUCUCUGUGUAAUCAUUGGCCAUAAACUCAUGGCUUCCUGUUCCGCUGCGGAGACAUCAUAACUGUGACUCGAUUAACUGCAUCUCCGUCAGUCCACGGUCAUUUACUGCAACCAAAACGUAAAAACACCUUAAAGGGACAGUUACAUCUAAUGACACGGAAUCCCUUUGUUUAUGUUAUGUCGGAGUUGCAUUAAAUCCUAAAUGGCCAUAGCAACCAAUAGAAUCUAGGAAAAUCAAACACUUUGGGCAGGAAUUGUCCCAGUUUGGUGUUAAUAAAUAUGGCUCUAUUACUGUGACAUUAUUCAGCCCUUUACUAGCAAAUCUCCUUCUUCAAAGACUAUUUAGGAGACUAAAUCUGAGAAUUAAUCUACGCCUGGGUGGGACAAACCUUUUCAUACAAUCUGUAUGACAGCCUGCCUGCCAUAGCUGUGGAUGCAACGGAUAGAUUAUAGUUCAGAGAGCAGUAAGUCUGUCUGAUGGUUUAGAUUAUUACAGCCUCACAUAGCAGAAUAGGCUAAUAGCUUGCAGUAACUUUAUAAUGGAUCUACUGUCCAUUUAAUGGCAAAAUUAUAACCAUAUCUUACAGCACCUUACUCAUACUUACAUAUAUUUACUCAUGCUCAGCCUGGCCUCUCUAUGGCUCAACAGAUCUGUUCAUCAGGCUAUUAUGCAGCUUCCAAGCUUCUAAUUGUCUAUAUCACUCCACUGGAAGGCUAUUCCAGGUAUCUACUACCCUUUCUAUAUCACUGUUACUGCUCCUACUGGAAGGCUAUUCCAGGUAUCUACUACCCUCUCUAUAUCACUGUUACUGCUCCCACUGGAAGGCUAUUCCAGGUAUCUACUACCCUUUCUGUAUCACUGUUACUGCUGCCACUGUGAUGCUAUUCCAUGUAUCUACUACCCUUUCUAUAUUGCUGUUCCCGCACCCACUGGAAGUCUAUGCCAAGUAUCUACUACAUUUUCUAUAUUGCUGUUACCGCUUCCACUGGAAGGCUAUUCCAGGUAUCUACUACCCUUUCUAUAUCACUGUUACUGCUCCUACUGGAAGGCUAUUCCAGGUAUCUACUACCCUCUCUAUAUCACUGUUACUGCUCCCACUGGAAGGCUAUUCCAGGUAUCUACUACCCUUUCUGUAUCACUGUUACUGCUGCCACUGUGAUGCUAUUCCAUGUAUCUACUACCCUUUCUAUAUUGCUGUUCCCGCACCCACUGGAAGUCUAUGCCAAGUAUCUACUAAAUUUUCUAUAUUGCUGUUACCGCUUCCACUGGAAGGCUAUUCCAGGUAUCUACUACCCUUUCUAUAUCACUGUUACUGCUCCCACUGGAAGGCUAUUCCAGGUAUCUACUACCUUUUGUAUGUCACUGUUACUGCUCCCACUGGAAGUCUAUGCCAAGUAUCUACUACAUUUUCUAUAUUGCUGUUACCGCUUCCACUGGAAGGCUAUUCCAGGUAUCUACUACCCUUUCUAUAUCACUGUUAGCUUUUGCUGCUCCCACUGGAAGGCUAUUCCAGGUAUCUACUACCCUUUCUAUAUCACUGUUACUGCUCCCACUGGAGGGCUAUUCCAGGUAUCUACUACCUUUUGUAUAUCACUGUUACUGCUCCCACUGGAAGGCUAUUCCAGGUAUCUACUACCCUUUCUAUAUCACUGUUACAGAUCCCACUGGAAGGCUAUUCAAGGUAUCUACAACCCUUUCUAUAUCACUGUGACCGUUCACACUGGAAGGCUAUUCCAGGUAUCUACUACCCUUUCUAUAUUGCUGUUACCGCUCCCAGUGGAAGGCCAUUCCAGGUAUCUACUACCCUUUCUAUAUCACUGUUAGCUUUUACUGCUCCCACUGGAAGGCUAUUCCAGGUAUUUACUACCCUUUCCAUAUCACUGUUACCGCUCCCACUGGAAGGCUAUUCCAGGUAUCUACUACCCUUUCUAUAUCACUGUUACUGCUCCCACUGGAAGGCUAUUCCAGGUAUCUACUACCCUUUCUAUAUCACUGUUACUGCUCCCACUGGAAGGCUAUUCCAGGUAUCUACUACCUUUUCUAUAUCACUGUUACUGCUCCCACUGGAAGGCUAUUCCAGGUAUCUACUACCCUUUCUGUAUCACUGUUACUGCUCCCACUGGAAGGCUAUUCCAGGUAUCUACUACCCUUUCUAUAUCACUGUUACUGCUCCCACUGGAAGGCUAUUCCAGGUAUCUACUACCCUUUCUAUAUCACUCUUACUGCUCCCACUGGAAGGCUAUUCCAGGUAUCUACUACCCUUUCUAUAUCACUGUUACUGCUCCCACUGGAAGGCUAUUCCAGGCAUCUACUGCCCUUUCUAUAUCACUGUUACUGCUCCCACUGGAAGGCUAUUCCAGGUAUCUACUACCCUUUCUAUAUCACUGUUACUGCUCCCACUGUUUGUUCAGUCUACUGCCGCUUUCACCAUAUCACUGUUACUGCUACCACUGGAAGGGUGUUCCAGGUAUCUACUACCCUUUCUAUAUCACUGUUACUGCUUCCACUGGAAGGCUAUUUCAGGUAUCUACUACCCUUUCUAUAUCACUGUUACUCCUCCCACUGGAAGGGUGUUCCAGGUAUCUACUAUCCUUUCUAUAUCACUGUUACUGCUCCCACUGGAAGGCUAUUCCAUGUAUCUACUAACCUUUCUAUAUCACUGUUACCACUUCCACUGGAAGUCUAUUCCAGGUAUCUACUAUCCUUUCUAUAUCACUGUUACUGCUUCCACUGGAAGUCUAUUCCAGGUAUCUACUACCCUUUCUAUAUCACUGUUACUCCUCCCACUUGAAGGCUAUUCCAGGUAUCUGCCACCCUUUCUAUAUCACUGUUACUGCACCCACUGGAAGGCUAUUCCAGGUAUCUACUACCCUUUCCAAAUCACCGUUAGCUUUUACUGCUCCCACUGGAAGGCUAUUCCAAGUAUCUACUACCUUUUCUAUAUCACUGUUACCGCUCCAACUGGAAGGCUAUUCCAGGUAUCUACUACCCUCUCUAUAUCGCUGUUACCGCUCCCAUUUGAAAGCUAUUCCAGGUAUCUACUACCCUUUCUAUAUCGCUGUUACCGCUCCCACUGGAAGGCUAUUCCAUGUAUCUACUACCCUUUUUAUAUCACUGUGACUGCUACCACUGGAAGGCUAUUCCAGGUAUCUACUACCCUUUCUAUAUUGCUGUUACCGCUCCCAGUGGAAGGCCAUUCCAGGUAUCUACUACCCUUUCUAUAUCGCUGUUACCGCUCCCACUGGAAGGCUAUUCCAGGUAUCUACUACCUUUUCUAUAUCACUGUUACCGCUCCAACUGGAAGGCUAUUCCAGGUAUCUACUACCCUCUCUAUAUCGCUGUUACCGCUCCCAUUUGAAAGCUAUUCCAGGUAUCUACUACCCUUUCUAUAUCGCUGUUACCGCUCCCACUGGAAGGCUAUUCCAUGUAUCUACUACCUUUUUUAUAUCACUGUGACUGCUCCCACUGGAAGGCUAUUCCAGGUAUCUACUACCCUUUCUAUAUCACUGUUAUCGCCGCUCCCACUGGAAGGCUAUUUCAGAUAUCUACUACCCUUUCCAUAUCACUGUUACAGCUCCCAGUGGAAGGCCAUUCCAGGUAUCUACUACCCUUUCUAUAUCACUGUUACUGCUUUCACUGGAAGGCUAUUCCAGGUAUCUACUACCCUUUCUAUAUCACUGUUACAGAUCCCACUGGAAGGCUAUUCCAGGUAUCUACUACCCUUUCUAUAUCACUGUGACCGUUCACACUGGAAGGCUAUUCCAGGUAUCUACUACCCUUUCUAUAUUGCUGUUACCGCUCCCACUGGAAGGCCAUUCCAGGUAUCUACUAACCUUUCUAUAUCGCUGUUACCGCUCCCACUGGAAGGCUAUUCCAGGUAUCUACUACCUUUUCUAUAUCGCUGUUACCGCUCCCAUUGGAAGGCUAUUCCAAGUAUCUACUACCUUUUCUAUAUCACUGUUACCGCUCCCACUGGAAGGCUAUUCCAGGUAUCUACUAACCUCUCUAUAUCGCUGUUACCGCUCCCAUUUGAAAGCUAUUCCAGGUAUCUACUACCCUUUCUAUAUCGCUGUUACCUCUCCCACUGGAAGGCUAUUCCAUGUAUCUACUACCCUUUCUAUAUCACUGUGACUGCUCCCACUGGAAGGCUAUUCCAGGUAUCUACUACCCUUUCUGUAUCACUGUUACCGCCGCUCCCACUGGAAGGCUAUUUCAGAUAUCUACUACCCUUUCUAUAUCACUGUUACUGCUUCCACUGGAAGGCUAUUCCAGGUAUCUACUACCCUUUCUAUAUCGUUGUUACCGCUCCCACUGGAAGGCUAUUCCAGGUAUCUACUACCUUUUCUAUAUCGCUGUUACAGCUCCCAUUGGAAGGCUAUUCCAAGUAUCUACUACCUUUUCUAUAUCACUGUUACCGCUCCCACUGGAAGGCUAUUCCAGGUAUCUACUAACCUCUCUAUAUCGCUGUUACCGCUCCCAUUUGAAAGCUAUUCCAGGUAUCUACUACCCUUUCUAUAUCGCUGUUACCGCUCCCACUGGAAGGCUAUUCCAUGUAUCUACUACCCUUUCUAUAUCACUGUGACUGCUGCCACUGGAAGGCUAUUCCAGGUAUCUACUACCCUUUCUGUAUCACUGUUACCGCCGCUCCCACUGGAAGGCUAUUUCAGAUAUCUACUACCCUUUCUAUAUCACUGUUACUGCUUCCACUGGAUGGCUAUUCCAGGUAUCUACUACCCUUUCUAUAUCACUGUUACUGCUACCACUGGAAGGGUGUUCCAGGUAUCUACUACCCUUUCUAUAUCACUGUUACUGAUUCCACUGGAAGGCUAUUCCAGGUAUCUACUACCCUUUCUAUAUCACUGUUACUCCUCCCACUGGAAGGGUGUUCCAGGUAUCUACUACCCUUUCUAUAUCACUGUUACUGAUUCCACUGGAAGGCUAUUCCAGGUAUCUACUACCCUUUCUAUAUCACUGUUACUGCUCCCACUGGAAGGCUAUUCCAGGUAUCUACUACCCUUUCUAUAUCACUGUUACCGCUUCCACUGGAAGUCUAUUCCAGGUAUCUACUAUCCUUUCUAUAUCACUGUUACCGCUUCCACUGGAAGGCUAUUCCAGGUAUCUACUACCCUUUCUAUAUAACUGUUACCGCUUCCACUGGAAGGCUAUUCCAGGUAUCUACUACCCUUUCUAUAUCACUGUUACCGCUCCCGCUGGAAGGCUAUUCCAGGUAUCUACUACCCUCUCUAUAUCGCUGUUACCGCUCCCAUUAGAAGGCUAUUCCAAGUAUCUACUACCUUUUCUAUAUCACUGUUACCGCUCCAACUGGAAGGCUAUUCCAGGUAUCUACUACCCUCUCUAUAUCGCUGUUACCGCUCCCAUUUGAAAGCUAUUCCAGGUAUCUACUACCCUUUCUAUAUCGCUGUUACCGCUCCCACUGGAAGGCUAUUCCAUGUAUCUACUACCCUUUUUAUAUCACUGUGACUGCUCCCACUGGAAGGCUAUUCCAGGUAUCUACUACCCUUUCUAUAUUGCUGUUACCGCUCCCAGUGGAAGGCCAUUCCAGGUAUCUACUACCCUUUCUAUAUCGCUGUUACCGCUCCCACUGGAAGGCUAUUCCAGGUAUCUACUACCUUUUCUAUAUCGCUGUUACCGCUCCCACUGGAAGGCUAUUCCAGGUAUCUACUACCCUUUCUAUAUCGCUGUUACCGCUCCCACUGGAAGGCUAUUCCAUGUAUCUACUACCUUUUUUAUAUCACUGUGACUGCUCCCACUGGAAGGCUAUUCCAGGUAUCUACUACCCUUUCUAUAUCACUGUUAUCGCCGCUCCCACUGGAAGGCUAUUUCAGAUAUCUACUACCCUUUCCAUAUCACUGUUACAGCUCCCAGUGGAAGGCCAUUCCAGGUAUCUACUACCCUUUCUAUAUCACUGUUACUGCUUUCACUGGAAGGCUAUUCCAGGUAUCUACUACCCUUUCUAUAUCACUGUUACAGAUCCCACUGGAAGGCUAUUCCAGGUAUCUACUACCCUUUCUAUAUCACUGUUACUGCUCCCACUGGAAGGCUAUUCCAGGUAUCUACUACCCUUUCUAUAUUGCUGUUACUGCUCCCACUGGAAGGCUAUUCCAGGUAUCUACUACCCUUUCUAUAUCACUGUUACCGCUCCCACUGGAAGGCUAUUUCAGAUAUCUACUACCCUUUCUGUAUCACUGUUACUGCUCCCACUGGAAGGCUAUUCCAGGUAUCUACUACCCUUUCUAUAUCACUGUUACUGCUCCCACUGGAAAGAUAUUCCAGGUGUCUACUACCCUUUCCAAAUCACUGUUACUGCUCAUACUGAAAGGCUAUUCCAUGUAUCUACUACUCUUUCUAUAUCACUGUUACUGCUUCCACUGGAAGGCUAUUCCAGGUAUCUACUACCCUUUCUAUAUCACUGUUACUGCUUCCACUGGAAGGCUAUUCCAGGUAUCUACUACCCAUUCUAUAUCACUGUUACUGCUUCCACUAGAAGGCUAUUCCAGGUAUCUACUACCCUUUCUAUAUCACUGUUACUGCUCCCACUGGAAGGCUAUUCCAGGUAUCUACUACCCUUUCUAUAUCACUGUUACUGAUUCCACUGGAAGGCUAUUCCAGGUAUCUACUACCCUUUCUAUAUCACUUGUACUGCUCCCACUGGAAGGCUAUUCCAGGUAUCUACUACCCUUUCCAAAUCACUGUUAGCUUUUACUGCUCCCACUGGAAGGCUAUUCCGGGUAUCUACUACCCUUUCUAUAUCACUGUUAGCUUUUACUGCUCCCACUGGAAGGCUAUUCCAGGUAUUUACUACCCUUUCUAUAUCACUGUUACCGCUCCCACUGGAAGGCUAUUCCAGGUAUCUACUACCCUUUCUAUAUCACUGUUAGCCUUUACUGCUCCCACUGGAAGGCUAUUCCAGGUAUCUACUACCAUUUCUAUAUCACUGUUACUGCUCCCACUAGAAGGUUAUUCCAGGUAUCUACUACCCUUUCUAUAUCACUGUUACUGCUCCCACUGGAAGGCUAUUCCAGGUAUCUACUACCCUUUCUAUAUCACUGUUACCGCUCCCAUUGGAAGGCUAUUCCAGGUAUCUACUACCCUUUCUAUAUCACUGUCACUGCUCCCACUGGAAGGCUAUUCCAGGUGUCUACUACCCUUUCUAUAUCACUGUUACCGCUCCCACUGGAAGGCUAUUCCAGGUAUCUACUACCCUUUCUAUAUCACUGUUACUGCUCCUACUGGAAGGCUAUUCCAGGUAUCUACUACCCUUUCUAUAUCACUGUUACUGCUCCUACUGGAAGGCUAUUCCAGGUAUCUACUACCCUUUCUAUAUCACUGUUACCGCUCCCACUGGAAGGCUAUUCCAGGUAUCUACUACCCUUUCUAUAUCACUGUUACUGCUCCCACUGGAAGGCUAUUCCAGGUAUCUACUACCCUUUCUAUAUCACUGUUACUGCUCCCACUGGAAGGCUAUUCCAGGUAUCUACUACCCUUUCUAUAUCACUGUUACUGCUACCACUGGAAGGGUGUUCCAGGUAUCUACUACCCUUUCUAUAUCACUGUUACUCCUCCCACUGGAAGGGUGUUCCAGGUAUCUACUAUCCUUUCUAUAUCACUGUUACUGCUCCCACU